UAUAAACACUUAGUGGCGAACGGGUGAGUAACGCGUAGACAACCUACCCUCUAGAUGGGGACAACACCGCGAAAGUGGUGCUAAUACCGAAUGUUGUAAUGUUAUUGCAUAAUGAUAUUACUAAAGGUGGCCUCUAUAUAAAAGCUACCGCUAGAAGAUGGGUCUGCGUCUGAUUAGCUAGUUGGUGAGAUAACAGCUCACCAAGGCAAUGAUCAUUAGCCGGUCUGAGAGGAUGAACGGCCACACUGGGACUGAGACACGGCCCAGACUCCUACGGGAGGCAGCAGUGGGGAAUCUUCCGCAAUGGACGAAAGUCUGACGGAGCAACGCCGCGUGAGUGAAGAAGGUUUUCGGAUCGUAAAGCUCUGUCUUCAAGGACGAAUGUAGAUAUUGUGAAUAAUGAUAUUUAAUGACGGUACUUGAGGAGGAAGCCACGGCUUAACUACGUGCCAGCAGCCGCGGUAAUACGUAUGUGGCAAGCGUUGUCCGGAAUUUUUUGGGCGUAAAGGGAGCGCAGUG
rnacentral:rRNA from 1 species